GCUGGAGAUUGGUCAUUGGUGGAGUUCCAAGUUCGGGGUACAAGUAUGCUAACCAACUAUUCUAGAUGGUAAGUCCCAAAACAUAUUGCCUCAGUGAUGCGAUACGGUCCUUCCCAAUUGGAUGAGAGUUUUCCUUAUUCUAUGGGUUGGUUGACUUCAGUCCUUCUGAGCAUGAGGUCUCUGAGUUGGAAGUGCUUCUCUUUGACUUUAGAGUUGUAGUAGCAUGCGACACCAUUAUCGAUAUGCCGCCAUCCAAACUCAUGCCGUCUCCCAAACUUUCUCUAAAAAAUCUAGGUUCAUCUAUAAAUUUUCUGAGUUUCUUUGUGCAUUGAAGGUCACUAUCCGGUGCGAGGAUAGGCCUAUCUCCAUAGGGAUGACUACCUUGGUCACGAAAGUG
rnacentral:lncRNA from 1 species